CUCAAGCCAUCUUCCCACCUUGGCCUCCCAAAGUGCUGGGAUUACAGGCCUCAGCCACCCUGCCUGGUCUCAUUCAUUGCUUUUGAUUAAGCUAUUGAUCCUGCUGCAGCGUAGUGGGGCGGGGGCCAGGAGGUGUCAGAGAGAUGCAUUAGAUUAGAUAUUUGCCUAUUAUUAAAGGCUUAACUGUAGCUUAACUGACCCUGUGCUUUUAACCAUCUGGCUGCUGGGAGCUGGGGAGUCACGGGAUGCAGGAAGAGUUCAUUAGGGAGCAUAGGUGGGAAGAGUGACCAGAAAACCAGGUGGGAGGUGAUCAAAUGCCCCAGAAAAGUUCACUGAGCUAUGAAGACUGCAGAGGCCAUUGGACUCAGUGACCCUUGAAAAAACAGGAAGAGCAGCUACUGGGAUGGGCAGUGCUAGAGAGGGAUGGGAUCCACAUGGCCAGGCUGCCCGGUAGGUGUGGGAUGGGAGCUGUUCUUGUGGGCACAGGAGAGGGAGGGCAUUGUGAGGGGAAGGAGUCAAAGUGACUGUAACUCUCAAGAUGUUUGGUGCAAAGAGGUGGAGGGUCCAGGGCAGGUGUGUGUAGGCAAUUGACUGGAAGUAUUUGUGAGGACCCAGUUGGGAUCCAGGCAAUGCAGUUCCCCGCCAUUUCCCACCCUGUGAUGGCUGGUGUUGGGUGUGAACAGUGGGAUUUACACAGAGGUGGGAAUUGGUGGGUUCAGACAGGCAAAGGGCUGGGAGUCCAGUGACUGCAGCUCAUUAGGAAGCCUCUGCCAUAGUCUGAAGGUGGGGAGCACCUGGGCGGAGAAGGUGAGAGGAGCUGGGGCUGUCCUCCCAGCAGGGACCUGAAUGCUCCGGUGGGCCCAUCUGCAGGCUGUGGCUCUGUGGUGACCACAGGGAGGUCAGGAUUGGGGGACAGGUGGGGGAGUCAGGAGGCAGAUGGGUCCCCAGGAACAGAUGGUUUUCUGCAGUGAGUAAGCUGCAGGGCCAGGCAUCGCAGAGGGGCCGGGUUGUGGAGAAGAGCAGGUGGUGGCAACCAGGGUAUGGAAAGGGCUGGGUGAUGGGCCCAGACCUCCCAGAGGAUGGGUGGUGAAGAUGUAGUAGCUCCUGGGCCUGGCACAGUGCUGGGGAGUGAGGCUGCCCUCCUCCCUGGGGAGAGUGAGAGGAGGGGGCCCUGCAGGGGCAGCUGUGGGGGAAGCGGUGGGUGCUCUGGGCUGAAGGGGAUGGGGAAGGACCAGACAGGGAAGGCAGCAGCCACAGCAGUGACUGGAAAACCGUUCUGCCAACUCUCCCGAAACAGAAAGGACUCACGCAUUCCUACUGAGAUUUUCUCCACAUAACAUUCAGCCCCUUAGAGCUGCUCAGAUGUGGAACAGAGGAGGAAGGGGUCUUUGAUGUAGGUCAGCCCCUGUUUCACCGAGGGGAAAGCGAGGUACAUGGAGAAGCCCAGCAGCCUUAGCCACAUGGCCGCUGGUGGCAGGGCCAGAUUCAGUUUGCAAGUGCUUUGUUGAAUGUGAACUUCUUAGCUCUACAACAAUCUCUUAACUCAAAUUCAUCUCUCCUUGAUCAAAAUUAAGAAAAGAUACAAUGUUCUUUAAGAGAAAAAGUACAUUUCAGCCUAUAUAAUUUCAGCUAUUGAAACUUACCAUAAACUUGGUACUACCCUUCCUAGGAAAAUCAAAUAUAAUAAAGCUUUGGAACCACUUCUGAGUUUGAACUUCAGAUGAACAUCAUUCUCUAAGACUCACAAUGCACAAGAAACUGAGAAAGCCAUGAACUGGCGCCAUCAGGACAGGCUUACUUGAGUGCCCUCAUGUGCCCUCCCUUACAGAUUCCUUCCAUCCCGAGGCCAGGACUUCCUUUAAAACUGUGUUCCUAGUCGUUUUGUCAAAAUACAUUUUUACUUAUUUAUCAGAAAUCCUUCAUUUAGAGAGUUAGAUCAGUGGUUCAUCCCCCAUUGGCAAUGUCAAAACUAAGUGCAACAAACAUUUAUUAAGCAUUUAGGGAAUGUUACAUACAUAACCUCUUUCAUACUUGCAUGUACUCUUUUAAUCACUUCAGUGAUUUUUGUUUCCCCCCAAAUCUGAAUUUCUGUGUCAGGCGUUCUCUUUAACUUACAAGUCGUGUCACAACCACAAGAUUCCCCCCUGGGCCUUCUGAGUCAGCGGGACACAAUCUUGAUAUAGACGCCGUUUUUUGGACCUAGGGCAGAUUUGGAUUCUAACAGCAGCGGUACCUAAAAUGGAGGAAAUUAAAAUAUUUGUCAAAGUUAACGAUAUCUAUGGGAAAACUGCCUCGGAACCAGGCCUCAAGCAGGCUUGAAAUUUGGCUGUGGGCUGAGGGAUGGCUGGGCUAGCAGUGAGCAAGGAACCACCCCCAAGUUGGACCACAGUUCCUGGAAGAGCCAAUGAAGCUGCCUUCCUGGACUGACACCCCCCACCCCCAGCACACUGUGAGUAACAUUGGCACCCCCCUUUCCCAUGGUAAUGAAAUGUGCAAAGAGUGUGUUUGGUCCUGCAUUUAUCCACCCAGGGGCCUGGGUAAGAGGUGGUAGCUUCUCACCCUGCAGGUGAGGAAUGGAGGUUCAAGAAGGCCAAGUAACUUGGCCAAGGUCACCGCUGGCAUGGAGAGCAAAGACCCCAAGCCUGACUUUCAACAAUUCUAACCCUCCUUGCUGGUCCCUCCUCAUCCCACUCGCUGGUGCCAGGGCAGUGACUGAGCAGUCCCCUCUCUUUCCCAGGGGCUUUGGGGAGAGGGGGAUGGGAGCAGUUUUCUGCUCAUGCACGUUGUGGUCUGGCCUCACUGACAACGAGAAAGCUUUUCUAUGUCCAACAUAAAAGGCAGAGUCAGUAGCAGACUGGGGGCUUCGAAGAAAAGCCAAAGAAUUCCUCAAGGAGCUGGAUUUCCCCUGGAGCCAUGUGUAAAAUGAUGAUUUCACAGCUAAUGAAAUCAUCCCCUGACAGGGACGGGCUGUGGUCACGGGGACUGGAGAGUGUCUGCGCUUGGGGGUGGGGGUGGGGGUCGAGGCUGUGGCAGCUGGGAGCACCCUCCAAGGAGCUGAAACCCCCUAGCCUCCCCUCCAAGCAGAGAGGGCCUUAGGGGGUGAGGAGGAGCCAGGGGGAGUGUCCCUGGCUUCUGUGGGACAAGCCACGCACCCCAAAACCCCUUCAAAAGCAGGCGCCCUACACAAUAGGAAACACUGCUAUCUGAGUGCUCCUUGUGGAAGGAAGAGCUACAGCAACAUGAGGCUCAGCCCUGCGCACGGAGAGCAGUAGUGAAGACCACGCAGACACAUGCGGUGGAUGUCGCCUGCCUGGCACUCACCAGAGCACUUGCACGAGCUCGUUUAUUCCUCACACGACAUUAAGAGGUGGAGGGUGUUACUAUUAUCAUUCCCCUUUUAUGGAUCAAGAACUGAUACCAAGGGAGGUUAAGGAGCUCACCCAAACUCACCGCGGAGCCCGAUUCCACCCCAGGCUGGCCAGCUGCAGCGCAGGGAGCUGGGGUGACCAGCCCUGCCCCAAGUGUCAGGCCUUACCUGAGUCUCAGCACAGGCCUGGAACCGGAACUUGCACAGGAUGUGGAGCAGCGUCAGCUUGACCUCCAGCAGCCCCAGCCGCACCCCGAGGCAGCUCCGAGGGCCUGCCCCGAAGGGCAGUGCACACCCAAAAUGCAAUCCCGUCUCCUGUGUCCUGGCUUGAACAAGCAGAAGACAAUCAUUUGAAAUUGCCUUGUUUCUUGGGUGCAGUGCUGCUGAGAUGCUAAAUCUCUGGAUUCAGUUUGGAGCUUUUUAAAAUGAUCCUGUCUGGGCUGAAGUGGACUGUCCUGUUGUCUGAGUGAGAAUCAUGACUCCUUGCCUCUCGUCGCUGCUGUUUGCGAAGAGAAGCCGGCCAAGCCCAUGUGACGACAGUGCCCGCGGGGA